UAACGCGUGGAUAACCUGCCUCACACAGGGGGAUAACAGUUGGAAACGACUGCUAAUACCGCAUAAGCGCACAGCACCGCAUGGUGCAGUGUGAAAAACUCCGGUGGUGUGAGAUGGAUCCGCGUCUGAUUAGCUAGUUGGCGGGGUAACGGCCCACCAAGGCGACGAUCAGUAGCCGGCCUGAGAGGGCGACCGGCCACAUUGGGACUGAGACACGGCCCAGACUCCUACGGGAGGCAGCAGUGGGGAAUAUUGCACAAUGGGGGAAACCCUGAUGCAGCGACGCCGCGUGAGCGAUGAAGUAUUUCGGUAUGUAAAGCUCUAUCAGCAGGGAAGAAGAAAUGACGGUACCUGACUAAGAAGCACCGGCUAAAUACGUGCCAGCAGCCGCGGUAAUACGUAUGGUGCAAGCGUUAUCCGGAUUUACUGGGUGUAAAGGGAGCGCAGGCGGUACGGCAAGUCUGAUGUGAAAGCCCGGGGCUCAACCCCGGUACUGCAUUGGAAACUGUCGGACUAGAGUGUCGGAGGGGUAAGUGGAAUUCCUAGUGUAGCGGUGAAAUGCGUAGAUAUUAGGAGGAACACCAGUGGCGAAGGCGGCUUACUGGACGAUUACUGACGCUGAGGCUCGAAAGUGUGGGUAGCAAACAGGAUUAGAUACCCUGGUAGUCCACACUGUAAACGAUGAUUACUAGGUGU
rnacentral:rRNA from 1 species